UGGGGAAUAUUGCACAAUGGGCGAAAGCCUGAUGCAGCGACGCCGCGUGAGGGAUGGAGGCCUUCGGGUUGUAAACCUCUUUCGCUCAUGGUCAAGCCGCAGCUUUGGGUUGUGGUGAGGGUAGUGGGUAAAGAAGCGCCGGCUAACUACGUGCCAGCAGCCGCGGUAAUACGUAGGGCGCGAGCGUUGUCCGGAAUUAUUGGGCGUAAAGGGCUUGUAGGCGGUUGGUCGCGUCUGCCGUGAAAUCCUCUGGCUUAACUGGGGGCGUGCGGUGGGUACGGGCUGACUUGAGUGCGGUAGGGGAGACUGGAACUCCUGGUGUAGCGGUGGAAUGCGCAGAUAUCAGGAAGAACACCGGUGGCGAAGGCGGGUCUCUGGGCCGUUACUGACGCUGAGGAGCGAAAGCGUGGGGAGCGAACAGGAUUAGAUACCCUGGUAGUCCACGCUGUAAACGUUGGGCACUAGGUGUGGGGGCCACCCGUGGUUUCUGCGCCGUAGCUAACGCUUUAAGUGCCCCGCCUGGGGAGUACGGCCGCAAGGC
rnacentral:rRNA from 1 species